rnacentral:sRNA from 1 species
GCCGGGCGCAGUGACAUAUGCCUGUAAUCCCAGCAGUUUGGGAGGCUGAGGCUGGAGGUUAACAAGUUCAAAGUGAAGUGCUAAGCAACUCAGUGAGACCCUGUCUCUA